rnacentral:misc_RNA from 1 species
GAUUGGAUAUCUCAAGCAAAUGCAAGGCAAUGCCGAGGCAGAGCUGGUCGUGUAAAGCCAGGAAUCUGCUUUUGUCUCUAUACUUCUUACCGAUAUGAGAAACUCAUGCGUCCUUACCAGAUCCCGGAGAUGCUGCGAAUGCCGUUAGUAGAAUUGUGCUUACAAAUCAAAUUGCUAUCACUUGGAAGCAUAAAGCUAUUUUUGUCUAUGGCUCUUGAACCUCCAAAGGAUGAGGCUAUUAUGUCAGCAAUUUCUUUAUUGUAUGAGGUUGGUGCCGUUGAAGGGAAUGAAGAGUUAACUCCUCUCGGGUAUCAUUUGGCGAGACUUCCCGUUGAUGUUUUGGUGGGGAAGAUGCUGCUAUAUGGUGGAGUAUUUGGCUGCUUGUCACCAAUUCUAUCUAUUUCAGCUUUCCUGAGUUACAAGUCUCCAUUUGUUUAUCCAAAAGAUGAGAGGCAAAAUGUUGA